UACGUAGGGUGCAAGCGUUGUCCGGAAUUAUUGGGCGUAAAGAGCUCGUAGGCGGUUCCGUCAGUCGGGUGUGAAAACUCUGGGCUCAACCCAGAGACGCCACCCGAUACUGCGGUGACUAGAGUCCGGUAGGGGAGUGCGGAAUUCCUGGUGUAGCGGUGAAAUGCGCAGAUAUCGGGAGGAACACCGGUGGCGAAGGCGGUUCUCUGGGCCUGUACUGACGCUGAGGAGCGAAAGCGUGGGGAGCGAACAGG
rnacentral:rRNA from 1 species